rnacentral:rRNA from 1 species
CGGGUGGCAGCAGUGGGGAAUCUUGCGCAAUGGGCGAAAGCCUGACGCAGCCAUGCCGCGUGAAUGAUGAAGGUCUUAGGAUUGUAAAAUUCUUUCACCGGGGACGAUAAUGACGGUACCCGGAGAAGAAGCCCCGGCUAACUUCGUGCCAGCAGCCGCGGUAAUACGAAGGGGGCUAGCGUUGCUCGGAAUUACUGGGCGUAAAGGGCGCGUAGGCGGACAUUUAAGUCAGGGGUGAAAUCCCAGAGCUCAACUCUGGAACUGCCUUUGAUACUGGGUGUCUUGAGUGUGAGAGAGGUAUGUGGAACUCCGAGUGUAGAGGUGAAAUUCGUAGAUAUUCGGAAGAACACCAGUGGCGAAGGCGACAUACUGGCUCAUUACUGACGCUGAGGCGCGAAAGCGUGGGGAGCAAACAGGAUUAGAUACCCGCGU